UCAAAAGUCAAGUCGGGGGCUGCAAAGCCUUCGUCUACACCCAUGUCUUUUGCGUACUUCUUGUUUCCUCGGUGGCGCAAGCCGCCGACUGGACAAACCAAAACCUUUUUUGUAAUUGCAAUCAGCGUCUGAAAAUAAUCUAAUUAUUUA
rnacentral:misc_RNA from 1 species